rnacentral:rRNA from 1 species
AUACGUAGGAUGCAAGCGUUAUCCGGAUUUAUUGGGUUUAAAGGGAGCGUAGGCGGAUUGUUAAGUCAGCUGUCAAAUGUCGGUGCCCAACAUCGUCCUUCCGUUGAAACUGGCAGUCUUGAAUGCACACAGGGAAGGUGGAAUUCGUCGUGGAGCGGGGAAAUGCUUAGAUAUGACGAGGAACUCCGAUCGCGAAGGCAUCCUUCUGGAGUGCGAUUGACGCUGAGGCUCGAAAGCGCGGGUAUCAAACAGGAUUAGAUUCCCUGGUAGUCCGCACGGUAAACGAUGAUUACCCGCUGUCGGCGGUAGACAGUCGGCGGCCAAGCGAAAGCGAUAAGUAAUCCACCUGGGGAGUACGCCGGCAACGGUGAAACUCAAAUGAAUUGGCGGGG